CCUACGGGAGGCAGCAGUGGGGAAUAUUGCACAAUGGGGGAAACCCUGAUGCAGCAACGCCGCGUGGGUGAAGGAGCGUUUCGGCGCGUAAAGCCCUGUCAGCGGGGAAGAAGAAAGACGGUACCCGACCAAGAAGCCCCGGCUAACUACGGGCCAGCAGCCGCGGUAAUACGUGGGGGGCGAGCGUUAUCCGGAAUUACUGGGUGUAAAGGGAGCGUAGACGGCGAGGUAGGCCUGAAGUGGAAGCCCGCGGGCAAAGGGGGGAACUGCUUUGGAAACUGUUUUGCUGGAGUAUGGGAGGGGUGAGAGGAUUUCGUGGUGUAGCGGUGAAAUGCAUAGAUAUCAGGAAGAACACCGGUGGCGAAGGCGGCUUACUAGACCAUGACUGACGUUGAGGCUCGAAAGCGUGGGGAGCGAACAGGAUUAGAUACCCCAGUAGUC
rnacentral:rRNA from 1 species